CUUAUGUUUGGACUUCUAGUAGUAGAGCAAAUCCCGGUCGUCGAUUCUUCUGAUGUCCACACUAUGAGAACGAUGAAAGUCGAGGAUGUGAUUACUUUUGUUGGAUCGAUAAAUCACAUGGUAAGAGAAGUACAGAUGCUACACCUGGAUUGCGAAACCAAAUCAAGAUUUUCGAAGAAGAUAAGAAACGCAAUGAGAAUGUUAUUAGAAAAUUAAUUUUUAUCAUUUUUAUUUGCCUUCUCAUCAUUGUCCAACUUAUAUUGCGUUGAAGAUAUGGGUUGUCCCAAAAUGCAAAUGUUUUGUAUGUCUUAUGUUCUCAAAACUUGUUUAACUUAAUUGUGUAGAUCUUAAUAGAACCGUGUGGAUGAUGACGAAAAUUUCAUUUGGUAUGAAGUACCCACAACGUUCUCAAAAUUUUAUGUUUUCUACAUUUCUAAUUUACGUAGCAAAUUUCGUCAAUGGGUUCAAUGUGAAGUUGCAAAAUUGUAUAUUAUUCACAUCUUCGUAUUUGUUAUGUGAAGUAGCGCAAUGAGAAUGUUCUAUAUUCCAUAUUUUUCCUCA